AACUUUCAACAACGGAUCUCUUGGCUCUCGCAUCGAUGAAGAACGCAGCGAAAUGCGAUAAGUAAUGUGAAUUGCAGAAUUCAGUGAAUCAUCGAAUCUUUGAACGCACAUUGCGCCUCUUGGUAUUCCUUGAGGCAUGCCUGUUCGAGCGUC
rnacentral:rRNA from 1 species